CCUACGGGUGGCAGCAGUGGGGAAUAUUGGACAAUGGGCGAAAGCCUGAUCCAGCCAUGCCGCGUGUGUGAAGAAGGCCUUCGGGUUGUAAAGCACUUUCAGUGGGGAAGAAAGCCUUGGGGCCAAUACCCUCGAGGAAGGACAUCACCCACAGAAGAAGCACCGGCUAACUCCGUGCCAGCAGCCGCGGUAAUACGGAGGGUGCGAGCGUUAAUCGGAAUUACUGGGCGUAAAGCGCGCGUAGGCGGUCUGAUAAGCCGGUUGUGAAAGCCCCGGGCUCAACCUGGGAACGGCAUCCGGAACUGUCAGGCUAGAGUGCAGGAGAGGAAGGUAGAAUUCCCGGUGUAGCGGUGAAAUGCGUAGAGAUCGGGAGGAAUACCAGUGGCGAAGGCGGCCUUCUGGACUGACACUGACGCUGAGGUGCGAAAGCGUGGGUAGCAAACAGGAUUAGAUACCCUAGUAGUC
rnacentral:rRNA from 1 species